rnacentral:rRNA from 1 species
UGGCUCAGGACGAACGCUGGCGGCGUGCUUAACACAUGCAAGUCGAACGAUGAAGACCGGUGCUUGCACUGGUUGGAUUAGUGGCGAACGGGUGAGUAAUACGUGAGUAACCUGCCUUUGACUCUGGGAUAAGCCUUGGAAACGAGGUCUAAUACCGGAUAUGACACAGUUUCGCAUGAAAUCUGUGUGGAAAGGGUUUGUACUGGUUUUAGAUGGGCUCACGGCCUAUCAGCUUGUUGGUGAGGUAAUGGCUCACCAAGGCGACGACGGGUAGCCGGCCUGAGAGGGUGACCGGCCACACUGGGACUGAGACACGGCCCAGACUCCUACGGGAGGCAGCAGUGGGGAAUAUUGCACAAUGGGCGCAAGCCUGAUGCAGCGACGCCGCGUGAGGGAUGACGGCCUUCGGGUUGUAAACCUCUUUCAGCAGGGGAGAAGCGAAAGUGACGGUACCUGCAGAAGAAGCGCCGGCUAACUACGUGCCAGCAGCCGCGGUAAUACGUAGGGCGCGAGCGUUGUCCGGAAUUAUUGGGCGUAAAGAGCUUGUAGGCGGUUUGUCGCGUCUGCUGUGAAAGCCCGGGGCUUAACUCCGGGUUUGCAGUGGGUACGGGCUAACUAGAGUGCAGUAGGGGAGACUGGAAUUCCUGGUGUAGCGGUGGAAUGCGCAGAUAUCAGGAGGAACACCGAUGGCGAAGGCAGGUCUCUGGGCUGUAACUGACGCUGAGAAGCGAAAGCAUGGGGAGCGAACAGGAUUAGAUACCCUGGUAGUCCAUGCCGUAAACGUUGGGCACUAGGUGUGGGGGACAUUCCACGUUUUCCGCGCCGUAGCUAACGCAUUAAGUGCCCCGCCUGGGGAGUACGGCCGCAAGGCUAAAACUCAAAGAAAUUGACGGGGGCCCGCACAAGCGGCGGAGCAUGCGGAUUAAUUCGAUGCAACGCGAAGAACCUUACCAAGGCUUGACAUAUACUGGACUCCCCUAGAGAUAGGGUUUCCCUUCGGGGCUGGUAUACAGGUGGUGCAUGGUUGUCGUCAGCUCGUGUCGUGAGAUGU